rnacentral:lncRNA from 1 species
ACAAGCAACGGAAGACUAGAUUAAAACAGAUUUAAUCCUACGCAUGCAGAGAUCUAAAUCAAAUACUUAUAGAUCUAGUUCAUAUGAUGAUAAAUAAGAUUAAGAAUAUCUGAUUUCAAAGAAUAAAAUAAUUUUAUGAUCGGACCACAUACCUAAAUCACUGAACUCCUUCAAAUCCGGAUCUGAGGAUGUCUCAGGUUCUAAUGUAGCC